rnacentral:lncRNA from 1 species
GCUAAUUAUUGUCAGAUGGAUCGGCAGCCGACCAACGCUUCUGAAACUAUUGUUUUUGGCAAAUGUUCCUCAACAUUUUCCUGGGAGCUAUGGUGCAUUACUCACGAGUGACAGAACCAACGAGCUUCAUCUCCCAAGAGGCUGGUGCAUCUGUUUAAAGGAGCAGGCACUAGGCAGAGCAGCCCCCACCCCACCCUCCAUGGCAGAGUGCAGUGGGGGAAGAAGUUUUCAUAGAAAUGCUUUCUAUAAAGCAUUUUCAUAGAGAAAGCAGGUUCAUAUAGAAAGCACUGGCUGCUGGUUGGAGUGGAGAGAUUGAAGACCCUCAUCUAGGAUCAAGCAACCCCCAGAAAACAAUUUUAAACAUGUCCAUUCAGACAAAAGGAGUCCAAAACCAUAAGAUCCUCUCAGCAUCCUGAACUAAUGUCCAGCUGUUAUCUCGGCUGAAAGGAAAUGUGGAUAUGAAAUUACCAGUGCAGUGAGUGUCAUGAAGAAGCACAAAGGUCUAAACAACACUUACUGGGAGUCUCUAAGCUACUCAAGAGAUCAGGAAGGGACUUUCCUGAGAAGCUGAGAUCUGCAUUACGAUGUCAAGAGGCAGUAUGAGACAGUGGCUAUUAAGGUUCUGGGGUUACAUCAUCUGGAGACUGAGAACUUGGGAUGCUCCUUGUUCAUCCAAGCAUUUGAACAAAUCCAGUGUCCUUUUUGAGCAAAAUAUGAGCCCCACCUUUAGAAUCUGUGAAUCUCCCCUUCAGAUGGGAAAGCUGUUUUUGUGGCUAAAAUUAGAAAUAACCCAAAUGUCUAUGAAAUGAUGCAUGGAUAGAUAAAAUGUGAUAUACCCACACAAUGGAAAAGUAUUUAUCAAUAAAAAGGACUGAAGUCCUGAUACAUACUCCAACAUGAAUAAAUAUCCAAAA